CCUACGGGGGGCAGCAGUGAGGAAUAUUGGACAAUGGGCGGGAGCCUGAACCAGCCAAGCCGCGUGAGGGAAGAAGGUACAGCGUAUCGUAAACCUCUUUUGUCAGGGAACAAAGGCGGGGACUAGUCCCCGGAUGAGGGUACCUGUAGAAAAAGCAUCGGCUAACUCUGUGCCAGCAGCAGCGGUAAUACGGAGGAUGCGAGCGUUAUCCGGAUUUAUUGGGUUUAAAGGGUGCGCAGGCGGCCUGUUAAGUCAGCGGUAAAAGCCCGGGGCUCAACCGCAGCGAGCCGUUGAAACUGGGGGACUGGAGUGGGAGAGAGGUGCGCGGAAUGCGCGGUGUAGCGGUGAAAUGCUUAGAUAUCGCGCAGAACCCCGAUUGCGAAGGCAGCGCUCCGGCUCGACACUGACGCUGAGGCACGAAAGCGUGGGUAGCGAACAGGAUUAGAUACCCCUGUAGUC
rnacentral:rRNA from 1 species